AUGAAGCAUAUCUUGAAGAUGUCAAGGAUGUUUGCGCCAUAUUGCCCACUUCAUUUUUUUGUUUUGUUUAUUUUUUUCUCUCUUUUUUUUUUUUUUUUCUUUGUAGACCAAAGUAUUUUCAGUGGUGGACAAAUCAUUAAAAAAAAAAAAACCUGGGGGGGGAUGAAUAUUUUAUAACGCACGCUCGUCUCUGUUGGCCAGAAACUUGGCUGACCUAGGCUUUUAAAAUUAAAAAAAAAAAAAAAAAGUGGUAGCCGGUUUAACGUGAGAAAGUCAGAAUUUAUUUCGUCGGAAUUCUGAAAAGCACGUCUGCCAUCCGUGCGCGCUGAUUAAUCCGCCUAGUGAAACUCGUCACGCGCCGAUGUGUGUGGUGCGGCGGUUGGUGAGCUCCACGGCGAGUAGCGCGCGCUGUAGUAACUCCUUCAUGAAGCACGCUUUGCUUACAAAUAAAUACCAAAUUAAGAAACUCUGUUUUGCGCAGGUUCAGAGUGAGUUGGAUAUCGGUUGUUGCCUGAGAAAAGAUAAAACGCUAAACAAAACACGAACAGCUCGGGAACGUUAAUCUCGGUUUCCCGUACACCCGGGCCGCGGAUUUGUCCAUCUCUGAUGUUACUUCACACGCCUACGUUUAAGGUGGAUUAUAUCUUUCAGUAGUGAAGUGUUCUGAACCGAACCACAGCGAGCACGUUGCUUUCAGAAUGACUAAGUUAUUGUUAUUAUUAUUAUUAUUAUUAUUAUUAUUAUUAUUAUUAUUAUUAUUAACGUGAAGUAGCCGAGUAUUUCUAUGGCCAAGGACCAAUCUACGACUCUGUAGAGACGGCCAGUGACACGUACUUUUUUGUCCUAAAACAAGCAAUAUAAUCUAGACACAGUUGUAUAUUUUGAAAGGUUUUGAUUUGCUGGGUCACUUGGCUGGCUCAUGGUUUUUAUUGUUAUUUUUUUGUUUUGUUUUGUUUGAGUUUAGUUUCUGCAGCACCUUAGGUAAACACCCUCUCCUUGUGUUGGAAAUGUUCGCUUUCAGCACUGAGAGAGCCUUACUUCAGUCAGACUGAAUGUGAAUUUGCUGUCUACAGGAUUUCAGGCCAUUUUGAAUGGACUGGCUGCGUUCUGCUCGGGUCUCGUAACUGAGUCCGGUUUCACAAAAGACCCGAAGUCUAUGAGACUUCUUUUUCUUUUUCUUUUUUUUUUUUCCUUCCUUUUUCUUUCUUUUCUUUUUUUUUUUUUUUCUUCUUUUCUUCGUUCUUUCCAAAAAGAGAUUGCUGUUACAAGAGACGCAAAAAUACUAUGCUCUGAUCGUGUCAGGCAGCACCCAGUGUGUAUGCAUUAGUGUGCACUUUGUGUGUGUGUGUAUAUUUAUUAUAUAUAUAUAUAUAUAUAUAUAUAUAUAUAUAUAUAUAUAUAUAUAUAUAUAUAUAUAUAUAUAUAUAUAUAUAUAAAAUAAAAGUGUGUGUGUGUGAGAGAAUAUAGUAUGGGGUCAUAUCAAACCUUGUAUACCUCAUCAGCAUAUCUGCAAAUACUGGCAUCGUGUCGUGUUUGUUUUGUUUUUUUUUUUGUUGUUUUUUAAAGUUAGGAAAAGACGCCAUCACCAGCAUGUGCUCAAAGCCUGGGACCACAGCGGGGGCGUGUACCAUCACUCGAACCCCUGCGUCAGCCAAAACGCAUCACGCUCACAUCUACUGCCUUUGCUAAAAGCAUGACCCAAACCAGUUUUUUGCUUUUACUGUUCAUUUAUUAUUCGCAGCGUUCUGAGGAGUAGUAGCAUUAUUCCUACCUCUGCGUGUUGCAGCUUGAUGUAUAUCCUGGUCUCUCACCACGACCGUGGGGACGAUAAGGAAAAUAUGUAUAUGGAACAGAUGUGUGUGCAAUUUAUCGUCGACAAGCGGUAAUAUAUUUAAAAUAAAGUAAAAUUUAAAAAUGUGCUUGAUUGUGUGUCUGUCAGUGUAACAUGAGAGAGUGUAUACACAACAGAGUACCACUGGAAUGUGAAGCCAGACUGUAUUAGAAAAAGGUUUUGUUUUUUUACCCCCAACCCCCCACCCCCCAUGCUUUCCUCCCAUUGUUCUGAUGAUGUCACGUGUUUCUGAUGUUUGCUUAAAAACAGGGAAGCCUAUCAGCCUAUUACAGCUCGUAUACUGUAUGUUUAUAUUAUACCUGCUGUAUCUUUUCUCCAUUGUAUUUUUUUAAGAAAUCCCUAUUUAUCCUUGCUUCCUCAGUCCCGUCCCCCCCGUCCCCUCUUUCCCUUAAUCACCUCUCAAUGUUCACUGUGAGCCCUCUGAAUUCAAGUUUACAACUCUUCAUGGAGUGUGUGUGAGAUUCCGGGUGAGUUUCGGGCAUUGUGCGGGUGGGUGCAUGACUUUGGUACCUAAGCAACAAUUCAAUUUUCUACCCGGAGGUUUGGGGAGUAUGAAAAGGGGGGGGGGGGGGACAGGGACAGGUCAGCGUUACUAACGGGGUACGUCCAGUCCCCCGAGCCUUACACCGUUCCAAAAUCAAAUUAACCAUUCAGCCUUUGGACCUCUGUAGCCACCCUCAGUUCAUUGUAGUGUCCUAAAAGCACGCGUCGUUUAGGAAGAACCCCCCACUCAUACCCUUUCACACCCCGAGCCCGUAGCUGUGCACCCCCCCCCCCCCCCCCCAAAUUAAAAACAAAAAAAAACAACAAAAAUACUCUCAAGCCAUUCAUUUCUUUGUGUGACGAUGCAAUCCUGAAAGCACUUUGCCUUGUUAAUUCCUAGUAGGAGCUUGUAAAUGGUUAAUUGUUACUAACAGAUGCGAACAUCUGUAAUGUGUAUUUAACUAAGAAGGAAACAUUUAUCAUUGUUUUGAAUUUGGUAUUAUAUGAACUCUGUCUCUCUGACUUUAAAAUACUGAAAAAGAAAAUCCUGUACAUUUUUUGCGUUUGCCAGUUUCAUAAUAUGCUGCAGCCAGUAGGUCUUGUCAUUCAGUAUUGUGGCUUAGGAUUGGUUAUGUUUGAAAUAAAGUGCUAUUGCUAAAUAAAAAAAAUCACCGUGUUGUGCUUUUUUCUUCUGUGAACAAUGGCUGUUUGUAUAGUAGAGGUGCCAACAUUUGCGGUGUAGCCAUAGCAGGUAUGAUCUUUGACCCCUUGCUACAGUGACCCGUGCUUUUUUUUGUUGUUUUUGUUUUAUCAGUUGAAUCAGUGAUCACUCUCAAAUAAAACUUCUCCAUCUCGUCCA
ensembl:lncRNA